rnacentral:rRNA from 1 species
UGGGGAAUUUUGGACAAUGGGGGCAACCCUGAUCCAGCCAUGCCGCGUGAGUGAAGAAGGCCUUCGGGUUGUAAAGCUCUUUCGGACGGAAAGAAACGGUGCGGGCCAAUACCCCGUACUAAUGACGGUACCGUAAGAAGAAGCACCGGCCAACUACGUGCCAGCAGCCGCGGUAAUACGUAGGGUGCAAGCGUUAAUCGGAAUUACUGGGCGUAAAGCGUGCGUAGGCGGCGGCUUGUGUCAGGUGUGAAAUCCCCGGGCUUAACCUGGGAAUUGCGCUUGAAACUAGGUCGCUAGAGUUCAUUAGAGGGGGGUGGAAUUCCAGGUGUAGCAGUGAAAUGCGUAGAGAUCUGGAGGAACACCGAUGGCGAAGGCAGCCCCCUGGGGUGAAACUGACGCUCAGGCACGAAAGCGUGGGGAGCAAACAGG